rnacentral:lncRNA from 1 species
GUUAACUGUAUUCUGUGUUGAAGUAUGCAAAACUACUCAGUAUAAAUUAUAGUCAAUCCAUAUAUGAUCAGCUGCUGUACAUGUUUAGAUAUAUACUAUGGGACAUGAAAUUUACAGUGUUUAUAUGACCAUAUAGGCUUUUAUCCAGGGAAAUAUUUGUGUUUCUUUAAAAUAUAAACUAUUAAUAUUUUCUAUGAUUAAAGGUAAAUGAUGUCAUCAGUGGACAUUUUAGCUUUAUGGAAGCAAAUUUUUAAGAAAAAUAGUAGAAAGGUGUCUGAUUCCUUUUAUUAUUCUUGUAGUGCAGAAGUAUAAACAAAGAUAUCAGUUAGAGGCAUAGGAAAGUUCAUUUGAAGAACCUGCAAAUCACUUUUGGUAAGAAUACAUUCAUCUUAUACAAGUGUUCAGAAAAUUGGGAAAAUUAUAGCCUUUUGUAGCAGAUUGAAAGUUUCAUGUAUAAGUAGUUCAGGACAGUAAACAUCACUAACUUGAAGUAAAAUUUUGCCAGUAAUUUUCACAUUAACCGUAUUUAUUAUUUGAUGUAAAUCAGUUAAUCAGUGAAAAUUGUAAUUGAAUGAAUGGACAUUUCAGAAUGCUAAUUAAUGAUCAAUAGAAGCCUAAGAGUACCUCUUGUAACUCUUUUGAGAGCAGUAUAUCUUCAGUUUUGUUAAGCAGAGUAACUCAGUUAACAA